CACGCCUUAAACGAUGGAUAUUCGGUGUCGGUCCCGCCCGGCCCUUCGAUAAGAAGGGUCGAGCGGGAUCGGUGCCUGAGCUAACGCGUUAAAUAUCCCACCUGGGGAGUACGAUCGCAAGGUUGAAACUCAAAGGAAUUGACGGGGGCCCGCACAAGCAGUGGAGCAUGUGGUUCAAUUCGAUGCAACGCGAAGAACCUUACCUGGGUUUGAAAGGCUCUGUAAACCGGUGAAGGCCGGCUAGCGUAGCAAUACGCGCGGAGUACAGGUGCUGCAUGGCUGUCGUCAGCUCGUGCCGUGAGGUGUUAGGUUAAGUCCUGCAACGAGCGCAACCCUUACACUUAGUUGCCAUCAGGUAAUGCUGGGCACUCUAAGUGGACUGCCUACGCAAGUAGU
rnacentral:rRNA from 1 species